GAUGAACGCUGGCGGCGUGCCUAAUACAUGCAAGUCGAGCGAACAGACGAGGAGCUUGCUCCUCUGACGUUAGCGGCGGACGGGUGAGUAACACGUGGAUAACCUACCUAUAAGACUGGGAUAACUUCGGGAAACCGGAGCUAAUACCGGAUAAUAUAUUGAACCGCAUGGUUCAAUAGUGAAAGACGGUUUUGCUGUCACUUAUAGAUGGAUCCGCGCCGCAUUAGCUAGUUGGUAAGGUAACGGCUUACCAAGGCGACGAUGCGUAGCCGACCUGAGAGGGUGUUCGGCCCCACUGGAACUGGGCACCGGUCCAGACCCCUCGGGGGGGCAGCAGUGGGAAAUCUCCCGCAAUGGGCGAAAGCCUGAGGGGGCAACGCCGCGUGAGUGAUGAAGGUCUUCGGAUCGUAAAACUCUUUUUUUAGGGAAAAAAAAAUGUGUAAGUAACUUUGCCCCUUUUGACGGUACCUAAUCAAAAAGCCCCGGCUAACUACGU
rnacentral:rRNA from 1 species